AGCGAACGCUGGCGGCAGGCCUAAUACAUGCAAGUCGAACGGCUCUUCGGAGCAGUGGCGGACGGGUGAGUAACGCGUGGGAAUGUGCCCUUUGGUACGGAACAACACAGGGAAACUUGUGCUAAUACCGUAUGUGCCCUUCGGGGGAAAGAUUUAUCGCCGUUGGAGCAGCCCGCGUUGGAUUAGGUAGUUGGUGAGGUAAAGGCUCACCAAGCCUACGAUCCAUAGCUGGUCUGAGAGGAUGACCAGCCACACUGGGACUGAGACACGGCCCAGACUCCUACGGGAGGCAGCAGUAGGGAAUCUUGCGCAAUGGGCGAAAGCCUGACGCAGCCAUGCCGCGUGUAUGAUGAAGGUCUUAGGAUUGUAAAAUACUUUCACCGGGGAAGAUAAUGACGGUACCCGGAGAAGAAGGCCCCGGCUAACUUCGUGCCAGCAGCCGCGGUACU
rnacentral:rRNA from 1 species